rnacentral:rRNA from 1 species
UAGGGAAUCUUCCACAAUGGACGCAAGUCUGAUGGAGCAACGCCGCGUGGGUGAAGAAGGGUUUCGGCUCGUAAAGCUCUGUUGUUAAAGAAGAACGUGGGUAAGAGUAACUGUUUACCCAGUGACGGUAUUUAACCAGAAAGCCACGGCUAACUACGUGUCAG